rnacentral:rRNA from 1 species
UGCGUAGGCGGGCUAAUAAGUCAGUGGUGAAAUCUCUCGGCUCAACCGGGAAACUGCCAUUGAUACUGUUAGUCUUGAGUUCGGUUGAGGUAGGCGGAAUGUGUAAUGUAGCGGUGAAAUGCUUAGAUAUUACACAGAACACCAAUUGCGUAGGCAGCUUACUAGACCGAUACUGACGCUGAGGCACGAAAGCGUGGGUAGCGAACAGGAUUAGAUACCCUGGUAGUCC